rnacentral:rRNA from 1 species
UGGCCGAUAGUACCGACGUUAACGUGCGGUUUUU